rnacentral:rRNA from 1 species
UACGUGGGGGGCAAGCGUUGUCCGGAUUUAUUGGGCGUAAAGGGCUCGUAGGCGGCGUGUCGCGUCGGGAGUGAAAGCCCGCUGCUUAACGGCGGGUUGGCUUCCGGUACGGGCAUGCUGGAGUGCGGCAGGGGAGACUGGAAUUCCUGGUGUAGCGGUGGAAUGCGUAGAGAUCGGAAAGAACACCAACGGCGAAAGCACUCUGCUGGGCCGACACUGACACUGAGAGACGAAAGCUAGGGGAGCGAAUGGG